rnacentral:rRNA from 1 species
AUUGAACGCUGGCGGCAUGCUUUACACAUGCAAGUCGAACGGCAGCACGGGGCGAACCCUGGUGGGCGAGUGGCGAACGGGUGAGUAAUAUAUCGGAACGUACCCGGAAAUGGGGGAGUAACGUAGCGAAAGUUACGCUAAUACCGCAUAUGCCCUAAGGGGGAAAGCGGGGGAGUUCGCAAGAACCUCGCGUUUUCGGAGCGGCCGAUAUCGGAUUAGCUAGUAGGUGAGGUAAAGGCUCACCUAGGCGACGAUCCGUAGCUGGUCUGAGAGGACGACCAGCCACACUGGAACUGAGACACGGUCCAGACUCCUACGGGAGGCAGCAGUGGGGAAUUUUGGACAAUGGGCGCAAGCCUGAUCCAGCCAUGCCGCGUGAGUGAAGAAGGCCUCGG